rnacentral:rRNA from 1 species
AGUGAACGCUGGCGGUAGGCUAACACAUGCAAGUCGAACGGCAGCACAGGAGAGCUUGCUCUCUGGGUGGCGAGUGGCGGACGGGUGAGGAAUACAUCGGAAUCUACUCUGUCGUGGGGGAUAACGUAGGGAAACUUACGCUAAUACCGCAUACGACCUACGGGUGAAAGCAGGGGAUCUUCGGACCUUGCGCGAUUGAAUGAGCCGAUGUCGGAUUAGCUAGUUGGCGGGGUAAAGGCCCACCAAGGCGACGAUCCGUAGCUGGUCUGAGAGGAUGAUCAGCCACACUGGAACUGAGACACGGUCCGGACUCCUACGGGAGGCAGCAGUGGGGAAUAUUGGACAAUGGGCGCAAGCCUGAUCCAGCCAUACCGCGUGGGUGAAGAAGGCCUUCGGGUUGUAAAGCCCUUUUGUUGGGAAAGAAAUCCAGCUGGCUAAUACCCGGUUGGGAUGACGGUACCCAAAGAAUAAGCACCGGCUAACUUCGUGCCAGCAGCCGCGGUAA